rnacentral:rRNA from 1 species
UACGAAGGGUGCAAACGUUGCUCGGAAUUAUUGGGCGUAAAGAGCGUGUAGGCGGCCAGACAAGUCUGCUGUGAAAACUCGAGGCUUAACCUCGAGCUGUCGGCGGAAACCAUCUGGCUAGAGUCCGGAAGAGGAGAAUGGAAUUCCCGGUGUAGCGGUGAAAUGCGCAGAUAUCGGGAAGAACACCCGUGGCGAAGGCGGUUCUCUGGGACGGUACUGACGCUGAGACGCGAAAGCGUGGGGAGCGAACAGG